GACGAACGCUGGCGGCGUGCUUAACACAUGCAAGUCGAACGGAAAGGCCCUGCGUUUGUGGGGUGCUGGAGGGGCGAAGGGGUGAGUAACACGUGAGUAACCUGCCCUUGACUUUGGGGUAACUUCAGGAAACUGGGGUUAAGACCGGAUAGGAGCCGCUGUUGCAUGGUGGGGGUUGGAAAGUUUCGGCGGUUGGGGAUGGAUGCGCGGCUUAUCAGCUUGUUGGUGGGGUAGUGGCUUACCAAGGCUUGGACCGGUAGCCGGCCUGAGAGGGUGACCGGCCACAUUGGGACUGAGAUACGGACCAGUCUGCUACGGGAGGCAGCAGUGGGGAAUAUUGCACAAUGGGCGGAAGCCUGAUGCAGCAACGCCGCGUUCGGGAUGACGGCCUGCGGGUUGUGAACCGCUUUCGCCUGUGACGAAGCGUGAGUGACGGUAAUGGGUGAAGAAGCACCGGCUAACUACGUG
rnacentral:rRNA from 1 species